rnacentral:lncRNA from 1 species
AAAAAUCUCAAGAAGCCCCAACUCUCUCCCCUUUAGGGUUAGUAGUCCCAUAUGCCUCUGGGACUGAUAGGAUUGGGAUUGGUUGUAGCAUACAAUAAGUAAUGAUACUAUUCCGUACUUUAAUACCUUUACGGGGUGAGAAGGGUAGAUAUGGAUAUGAUGACCGGUGCACUAAUAUCACGUGUGACCCCUCUUCUGUGGAGUGAUUGCUGGAUACUGCAUUGAUAUGAUCCAUAUUAAUUAUAAACAUAGGACUCCUCUCCUUUUAUGUUCUUUCUUAUAUGUUUUCUCUAUAAGUUGUUUAAAUCUUUCCACAAAAUUCUGC